GCACUGCUGAGGAGUUCCACAAUAGGACGAAACGGCCGUUCAGUGU
rnacentral:hammerhead_ribozyme from 1 species